AAGGAAUCCCUCGAAUGGACUUCCCAAUUCCGUCAUAAUUCUAAUAUUUGUUCAGCAUUAAAAGGACAUAAUUACCACCAGUGCAAACAAGUGAAUCAUCAAUUAGUUUAACCAAACUACAACAUAGGUAGUCUGGAUGGAAGUGAACCUUUCAAACAAUUAAUUAUUUCAGAAUAGCAUGCCAAUACGUGAAAUAUUGAAAGAUCAAUAGGACAUUAUUAGCCAGGAAGGAAUGCAACUCAAAAUAGCCUAGAAAAGAUAGUACACUACUAAUAUUAAUGACCCCAGUUUGGCGGUUUCUAUAAUAAUGAAGCAUAACAACAGAAUAGUGAAAGAGAAAGGAUAGUCCACACAUAGAUAUUUGGGCGAUCAGACCACUACUAAAGUUCCAGGUUAUUUCAGAAAGGGAGGACGAUCCAUUGUUU